rnacentral:tRNA from 1 species
ACUUAUUUAAUAUAAAAAGUAUAUUUAACUUCCAAUUAAAAAGUCUAUUUAAAGAAUAAGUA